CCCGGCCCCGCCGGCUGUGAGGGAGAUCCUGCGUCUCCUCCUCCUCCUCCGCCCGCUCCGGACUCUGCAGCAGCGCGGGAGCAGCAGCACGGCGGCGGCGGCUGGCGGGGGAGCUCCCUUCCCCGCCUCCCCGCCGGCAUGCCCGCCCGGCUGCCCCCGGCGCCGCGCCCCUCGCCCGCCUGAGCGCGGCGGGGGCCGCCGGCGGCUGCCACCCCCGUCCUCCCGCCACCCCCCGGCACCAGCCGCCGCCGCCGCGCCCGCGCCUAUGGAGCAGCCGGCGGGCAGCUCAGCCCCGGGGCGAGGUGUAUUUCUAAGAAGAAGAAUAUUGGCUAUGAAGAGGUGUAUGUGGUAAUCUGUUUCUACUCAUUCAACCGAAGAAAAUGAAGAUACGCUUUGGCUCUUCAGAAUCCUUUAUGACCACUGUUGGGUAAAUGAGCAAUGGUCAUAUGAUUAUGCUGACAUCCCAGCAUGCAUUUGGUAGACCUGUGGUUAACUCGUUCCCUCUCCAUGUGUCUGCUCUUACAAAGUUUUGUCCUCAUGAUACUGUGCUUUCAUUCUGCCAGUAUGUGCCCAAAAGGCUGCCUUUGUUCUCAUUCUGGAGGCUUAAAUGUCAGUUGUAGCAAUGCAAAUCUCAAGGAAAUACCCAGAGAUCUUCCUCCAGAAACAGUCUUACUUUAUUUGGACUCCAACCAGAUAACAUCCAUCCCAAAUGAAAUUUUUAAGGACUUACAUCAACUGAGAGUCCUCAAUUUAUCUAAAAAUGGCAUUGAAUUUAUAGAUGAACAUGCCUUUAAGGGGGUGGCAGAAACCUUGCAGACUCUGGACUUGUCCGACAACCGGAUUCAAAGCGUGCACAAAAAUGCAUUCAAUAACUUAAAAGCCAGAGCCAGAAUUGCAAACAAUCCUUGGCACUGUGACUGUACGCUGCAGCAGGUCUUGAGGAGCAUGGCUUCCAACCAUGAGACAGCCAACAAUGUCAUCUGUAAGACUUCUGUGUUAGAUGAACAUGCUGGGAGACCAUUCCUCAAUGCUGCCAAUGAUGCUGACCUCUGUAAUCUUCCUAAAAAAACUACUGAUUAUGCCAUGUUAGUCACCAUGUUUGGCUGGUUCACCAUGGUGAUCUCUUAUGUGGUUUAUUAUGUGCGACAAAAUCAAGAGGAUGCAAGGAGGCACCUUGAGUACUUGAAAUCCCUGCCAAGCAGGCAAAAGAAACCAGAAGAAGCUGAUGACAUUAGCACUGUGGUAUAGUAUCCUGAAUAUACUGACUGACUUUGAGAUGGAAAUUAGAUUUGGAUGACAUUAAAACCAGAGGUUUACUUCUAACAUUCAUUGUAAACAUUUAAGACUUUUUCAGUUUACCUGAAUUUAUGCCACUGUUGAUCUUUCUAAAGGAGAUUUUUGUUUGGGUGGUAUACCUUAAUUGUUUCUCUGGUGGUAUUCUAGAGCAAGUAAACUAAUAUGUAAACAUUAGUUAGACCCAUUCCACUAUUUAAUAACGAAAUUUAUUUUUUUAAUUUAAAACCAAAUAAAAGCUUAACUUUGAACCAUAUAAAACAGAGUAAUUUAUUCAUCAGAAACCUGUCUAGUGACCGAACCUGUUUGGUUUGUCAUUAUUUAUGAGGUUAAAGAUAGUAAUGAUGCUGUGAGUCCUAACAGUUUUUAUAGAAGGAGAAUCCCAGGAGCUCCAGUUCACACCCAGGGGCUGCACAUGAUUUACUCCCAGGGAAUCAAGUGACGAGCUAAUGAGUAGCCCUCUUGUUGUUUGCCUUUCAAAAGUAAAGGGGCAUGAAUGUGGGGAGAGCAGGUAGACAGUCAGCCCAUAAAGGUCUCAUGGGCUUAAGAAGCUGAAGACAUGGUGAAGCCGUGAGUUGCGUUUUGACUGAGCUAAGGAGCGGCAGCAGUGAAGAAGCCUGUGCUUCAGGACACCACAACAGUGGGACAGAUAUGUGUUGGAUUGAAACCUAAGUCAAGAAAACAACUUGCAAGAUGAAAAGCUGGCUGCAAAAGGUUCUCUGCAGCCUAUUGGAUGUUUGAAAGAGUGCAGAAAGCUUUCUUGCAGAGCUGGUGGAGCUGCUCCACAUGAACAUUGUUCAAGACAUCAGUUCUCAGCCUUUUUUGUGGAAGCUCCGCUGGUUUUUACCAGACCAAGGCCUCAGGCUCCUGUUCAGUUGCAAAUUAUGGAUUAGAAUGUAUACAAAUGAACAGGAGGCAAAAGGCACUAAUUACAAUGGAAAGUGGUACAUGGGCUUGCCAGGGAGCAGGGUUACUAGUCACAAAAGUCUAAUGCUCCAGUAUCAGUAUGAUGUUCCAAAUAUUUACACUGACGUGUAAACUUUUCACUCUCUUUAAUGUUGUCACCCGAGUGGAAUGUUCCCAGAGUGGAAGUGAUGGUGCAAUAACUUAAGCCAGGGGAUUUCAACCUUUUUUGGUCAGUGUACCCACAGUGGCCAGUCGAGAAGUGGGGAGUCUCCCAGCGUCCAAUUGACGACCGGGGAGGGGAUGGGCAAAACCAGAAGUGUCAGCAAUGCACAGCACUUGGUGCCGGCAAAAACAAAAGUGCCAGUGGCAUGUGGUGCAUGGCAGUGCAAAGUGCUGAUCGCCCCGCUUCUCCAUGCCACUGCCACAUACCCCCUGAGGCAUUCCCAAGUGCCCCUGGGGGUACGUGUACCCCUGGUUGACAGCCCCUGACUUAAACCAUUACUUGCAUUCCCAUAACAGAGAAGUACUCAGUUGCCAAGUGUUGUACAUCAUGCCUCUUCCUUAGUCUACUAACUUUCCACACCUGCUUCAUCUACUGGUCCAUAAGGUGAGAAAGUCAGCUUCUCCAGCACUACCAGCCCUACUCCAUGGCAUUCUGUCUCUAGGCAAUAUUCAACUAAUUAUUGAGGUUGAAGUCUUGUUUCCUUGGACCCUUGUCAGCAUUUUUUGUUAGUGGACACAGAAGGGCUCCAAACCACUGAAAUUCAGAGCUGCCAAAUUUUGUACAGCUACAUGUAUGUCACUCCCCUUUGGUGAUGUGUCGGGGGGGCAUGUGCCCCCCAGAUUUCUGCACCACAGUGAGGAAUGGGGCUGUAGCCUGUCCAGAGCCAGGGCCCAGCAGCAGUGGGGGUGGUGGCGGCACAUGAUAUCUGUGCCAACGGUAGGGCAUGCUGCUGCAGCCUGGUUGGACCCAGCAUCCAGCAGCAGUGGCUGCAUCAGUGCAAAGUUGUGCCCCCCCAACUGCGGCAGCAGUAGUGUGGAAUUGUACUUCCCUCAGUGUCAGCACGUGCAUACUGUCUAAAUCGCUCUCAGUCUGAGGUGUGCUGUUCAACAAGGUGGGAGCUAACAGAAGUCUGUCCCUUCAGGAUCCACUAAAGGGAGUAGGAAUUGGGAAAGAACCAGGUCAACAUGCAGGAAUUGGGGUGACUGGGGUGCUUGGAGAAGUCAGUGAAAAAUUAGAUGGACUCAAGGCAGGGGGGGAUGGGGACUCAGGGUGGCAACAAGCAUGUCAGUUGUCUAGGCCCUGAAAUCCCCCUCCAAAAAAUUUGAGAGAUUGGCAAGAUCUGGGGAAAGCUCUCCUUCACUGCUCAUCCCCAUCUCUUUGGGGCUCCUUUCCUUUGCUUUCUCCCCAUUCCAUUUCUCACUGUAGCAAAGCAUAGCAAUCUGGUCCCUUGAGAAGGAACAUCAGUGUGUAGAGAAAACAGUCUUUGCACACAGUGCAGCUGUUCAGAAACAGUAAUUUUGCUGUCAGGAAGGAAAUUCCUGCAAUUGUACUGGAUAUAUAAUGUUCCAACAGCCCAGAUGUAAUCUGUGUUAGGAUAGCUAAGCAUGCAACAUCCCCAGUACACAGUAUGUACUUUUCCUUGCAAGGGGAGAAAAGAGUCAUCAACAUGCCCACAAUUUUCCUUAAAGCAUGUUGUACUGUACCUGGUAGUUUGCGUAAUUCCUAAAUUGCCUCAAUCUUUAGAAUUUGCAGUUACUUAACUUUUCUCUACCUGUUAAUAGCCACCCCUUCCCCCCCCAACAUGUUAAAAAAGGAGAACUGGAUAAGUUAGUUGGCUUGCAUCUGCCUAGUGGAAGGCUGAGACAAGCAUCUGUAUACCUGGCAUGUAUGUGUUUAAUCAUAUCAACCUUUCAGAUCCCAGGCCCCCAUGCAGCAGUGAGGCACUCUGGCCUGGGAACAUUUCCCCCAGGCCAGGUCCCUACUGAGUAGGUUGGUAACAGAGGCUUCCUCAGCCCUGAAAGUAGACACUUCAACAAAAUGGCUCAGCUGCUGCUCUUUCCCACCCAGCUGUUAGGUUGGUUCUCUGAUGAGUAGGAUGAUGAAUCUAAGGCCUAUGCACUUCAAGGCCAGCAAUAGAGUAAAUGCCUCAGUAGCCUUCCUGUCAGUUGGCAGGAAGGUAACGUUCUAGUUGAGUGCUUAGACAAAGCAGCAAUUACUUCCAAAGGCCACAGAACUAAUCAGCUGUCUCAGUUCGCUACCUCUGUAGCAGCUCUCUGACUACCUGUCUCUUUCCUGACCGACCCCCACGAGCUCUUAAGAUAAGCGAUGUUUUUCUCCAUUUUUCUUUUAAGUCAGAGAUGUUAAAGGCAUGUUCACACUCCAGUGUUCCACCAGGAGGGUGUCUAAACUGGCUGUAUGGAUCUUUAGAAACACAGAGUACAUAGGAUGAGGAUAGGGGCAGACUGCUAACAGACCAAUCCUUUGCUGCUCCUUCAUUCACAUUCUUAUCUCCUAAAAAAAACCAAAAAACCCUAACUGCCAUGAGACCAGCUGUCAAUUCUGUUAAAACCUUCUUGGAUGUAACCCAGAAUGUAGAAGGCCAUAGUCUCAGCUGCUAUUGCUUAGGGUAGCCCCAUCAGAAUCAAAAGAGCAAUGUCAAUUUAAUACCAGAUGAAAACCCAUCCCAGAACCUAUUUUAACUUGCUUAGCACACAAAGUUUCAAUUAAGCUGAUAAGAACUCAAAAUAAGUGUCCCCAAGACAUCAGAGUGGUUCUUCAGCACAACUAGGAAUGACUAGAUCAUGACAUUUGAUAAUUUAACAGGGAAAAAAAGCAUGAAGGAGGAAGAGGGGAGUCUCUCCCUUUUGGAUGCUCUCUUUAUACACCACAAAGUAAAAGGGACACAAUUCUAAUUUUUAGAAGUAUUCUUUGGAGAAAUCAUCUCUGAAAAGAGGCAAGGGCUGGUUUGGAUUAGCUGUAUAGUUUGGAGCUUUCAGGCCGGUUAUGGCUACAAUGCACUCCAACUCUUCUGCCAGCUUUAGAGGGAGGCAUGUUUUGUCUAGAUUGGGGUGGGCAAAAUGCAGCCAGUGGGCCAGAUGCGGUCUGAUUUAUCUGCCCCUGGCUGCGUGUCAUGCAGCCCUCGAUGGCUUGUGAAAACUCAGUAAGUGGCACUCUGCCCAAAAUAAUUGCCUGCCCUGAUCUACAUGAUUCCCCCAGUGAACAAGCUUGCUUUAAAAUUUGCAGAAGUUUCAAGUUGAACUUAAUUCUAGCUCUAAGCUGUAUUAGGACCAGAUGAUUUUAAAAACCAUAAGCAAAAUUUGAGAAUUUUAAAAAAUCUGAGUAUAGUGCAAAUACUUAGAAUUGAAUUAAUUAGAUCAUUUUGAACAUCAGAGGAAUUUAACCCAGGGAUAGAGCUCUUCAGAUCAUCUUAGAUAAAUCUAAGCUAAUGUGAAAACAAAUAUAUAAAACCAGACUGAAGGGCAAGAAUCAGAAAAUGCUUCCUUUAAAUUAAAAACAUCUUUGGCCUUGUACAGACAUUCAGUUUCUCCUAGGAGAAUUGCUGUUGUCCUAGGAAAAACCACGAAUAUGCAGAUGUUCAGGCCUUUUUCCAGAGUAAAAAUGGCCGCUUUAGAAGAAAAAUAACCUGGCACAACCAGGGUUAAACCACUUCCAGGAGAGUUUCUACUGGGAAAGCAAAUGUCUGUACAUGCUGAGGAGACAGGCUGACCAUGGGAUGUCAUCUGUUGCCAAGCAGAAUAAAGAAGCCUGCAGAGCAUACUGUGAUGUGUGCAAACCUUUCCCCCUGCCCCCACCUCACUGCACAGUAUCAGCACUACAGCUCUCCACUCUUCAGGGCUUCAUCAUUCAAAUGUAUGUACCCGUAGUUGUGUACGUUUUUCUACCAUGAGAAUUUUCCUAAGUUAUUUGAAUGUGGGUACACAGUCUUUGCUUUUACAUAUUUUGGACUGUUUUUAUAUUUUGAAAUUCAGAUCUCUGUUUAAUUUUUGAAGCUAACUAUCAUAUAGCACCAAAUUUUUUCAAUCCCUCCAGGGAAAAAUUUUAAAUAAUUUAAGAUGUAAAUACUUUUCCCCCCUCUCACGAACAUUUAAAAAUAAUUAUGGGUGAUGGGAGAGUGGUGAAUGCCCCAAAGGACCCUUUCCUAUCCUCUGUAUGCAUUCCAUCCCCCCACCCCACCCCCGCUGAUGAAAACUGCAACCUCUUGCACUCAGGAUUAUGGAUGCUGCUCCUAAUAUGCAACAUUGAGAGUUUAUCACUCCAAAGGUGCUAGGAAGAUAGCACAGCUACAACUCCCCCUGAAAAAGCAUACUGUCAAGCUAAAGGGAGGCACAUCGUGUACAGAAGUGAGCUCUAAAUUGGCUCCAAAGAAAGGUCAUUUAGUUUAUACAAUCCAGGCAGUUAUUUUCCUCUAUAUAAUGAACACAAAGUUGGGUUCUGUGGUAACUAUUCUAAUUUGUACUUUUCUCCCCACUGCCCCAAGUUGUUUCCUUCAGGGAUUGAAAGCAGGAUCUGAUGCCCUAGGCUGACCAAGUGUAGUGCAGAUCACAGCUGAAGAGAUAAAAAGUUAAGCUUUGAGAUUCAUUUAACUAUAUCAAGCAGCCACUUCACCCCCCCACACACAUAUUUUGUGUGCUCUGUAGAGCAGUAACUACCUCCCUCUGGGUUUGGAAAGUUUUGCACAUUUGGGCUGCUAUUCCAUUCUAAACACUAUAAACAAUUUUUCACUGUGGCUAUUGCUUGCAAUACCUAGGCCUCAACCACUGCAUUUUGUAAUACUUUUCCCAGAAAGCCACAGGUGUGCACGUUAGUAGAAUCACUGACUUGUAGAAUCACUGGCUUGUGAGGCACAAGACUGAAAGCAAUCUCCUGUAAAAUAGACAGCCUGCUAAUACACACUGACUUUGUGCUCUGCUUUUACAACACAGAACUCCAGGCUUGGCUUUGGGGGAGAGUAGCAUUAACUUCCUUGAGGGCUGUAGGACUCAGCAGCUGUGAAAGUUUGGCCACUUAAUUUGAUAUUUAAAUAUACAUAAACUUUACAUAAAUAUUAUAAACUUUACAUUACCUACUAAGGUUUGAGGUAAAGUUGGAGUCAAACAAAGUUUGGUCAUUUGACCGAUCAAAUAUUGGUCAAAAAUUUUAACGAAUUGCCAAUCGGUCCAGAUAAUAUACAGAAUAGGCACAAAUUUUCCAUUAAGAAAUGUGUCAAAAACAAUAAAAAAUCACUUUCUGGUAAGAAAACUACAAAAAAAUUAGCUUUUUUUGUAAAAUUGCUUUAUUCUUUGAUUGGUCAAAAAAUAUGCAAUCAGUGGACCAGUCAAUUGACAAUAUUUGACCGGUCAAUUGACUAGCUUGCCAGCCCACAAACUUUGAGAUGAAGGGUCCUGUUGUCCUACUCUAAUGACAGGUAUUUUUGAUGGUUAACAAGCAAAUUAAAUAUUAUCAAACAGCAGAUCAUUAGCAUUUUAAAAACAUAUUGGGCAUCUUUACAUGUGUUCCAGGGGUGGGGGGGGUGUUAAUUAGAUUGGCUCCCGAGCCACUCUAACUAACGUGCCCGGAGCAUCUCUUGUAUUUAGCUCCCUGUGCUUCAAAAUGGCAGUAUGGGAACUUUAACUAAAGCUUAUUUGACAAGCUUUCGUUAAAGCACCCCCACCGCCAUUUGAAGCAUGGGGAUGCUGAAUACACGGGACACUAAAACUGCUAGAGCAUGCUAAUUAGCACGCUUCAGCAGACUUGAUUAAUCGUAAUCACAGCAUGUUGGAGCAGAUGUCCCGGACAUCUACAGGCACCGUAUAACUAUGCCUUUUGAAGACUUAUGAAACUAUUCUGCAAAUCUACUUUCAGACAAGUCAGAGCUUGCAAAUGCACAAGUAAAUCUUCAUGAAUUCAGAGAGGAACAAGCUUCAAAGGGUUCCUUGAUGAUGCCCAAGGAGCAUGUGCAAUUUUCCUCCUCUUCUGUUAGACCUUUUUGUUAGCCAGGGGCAAGAAAAUGGGAUGGGUUAAAAAAAAUAAAAGAAUCAAGGCAGAAACCAUGUGUAGUGGCAGGUGGAAGUGUAUGUGUUCUGAGAACCCCUCUAUCAGCUGCACUCAUUGUAUCAGUAAAAUACUAAUUUCAGUGGAUUUGAUAAGCCUCUGAAUCAUGUUGUCACCUGAGCAGUGCCAAUGAUGGUAAAACAUAUUUUGGCACACUAGUAUAUUCCAGUGCUGGUCACUAGAACAUUAUUGUCUGAUGUAAUUUUAGUACACUGGAAAGAACAAAAUAUAAUUUGCUUACAUUGAGCCAAGUGCUGUUCCCCACAGGCUUUCAAACUUUAUUUCUAGAAAGCUAGUAUUUAGUAUAUUUCAUUUUUCUUGGGUACAUUAACACCUUCUCUCCUGUUUUAGCACAUGUCUUACAAUGGUGGGAAAAAAGUUACCAUUCUAAUAUGUUUAUGAACAAGUGCAGAGAUGAUAAUGUUUCCAAAAUUUGGAAAACUUGCAUUUUUUUUUUUUAUGUUUCUUGCAGAUACCACUAAACCAUAAGGCAACAUUCUAGUUCUUGGCCAACAUUUUCUUUUAAACCAUAAAACAUUGUACUUGGUUAUACUGGGUAUCAUUCUGUUCCACCUAUAUAAAGCCACCUUAGUUAAGCAACCAUGGGCACUUUUACAUGUACUCCAAGGGUGAGGAAAGCACUGCCACAGCUUGUGUAUCAGCAUUCCCAUGCUUAAAAAUGGCGGCUGGGGCGCUUGAACCAACGCUCAUUCUACAAGCAUUAGUUCAAGCACCCCACCACCAUUUUUAACUGCCGGGAUGCUGAUACAUGAGACAUAGGAGGCUACAGAAUUGUGGUAAUUGCCAUGCUCCAGCAGACUUUGCGCUUGUGUAUAGGCACCCCAUAUUUGUAUCAGUUCCCUAUUAUUACAGUAUAUACAGGUUUUAGUCUUACUAUAGAAGCAUAUCCCAGUGAUUAAUAAAACUGAUCCAAGAAAUGCCAGUCUAAUAGAAUGGUGAUUUAUAGGAAAUACCUCAUGCAAGUAUUUUUAGGAAUAUUUUUCCAUUUUAAAUCCAAAUAUUUUCAAUAUAUUUUUCUGUUCAGCUCUAGAUUCUACUCUUGAGCUGGACAGAAACUCUUAAAGGCUUGUUUUCUGGUUUUGUGUCCUCUCUCUAAACCUCAGACUCCCCAUUUACAAGAGAAUAAUUACUUAGGCCACAGGUAUGUUAUUAGGCUUAAUGCAUUAGUGUUUCUAAAGCCCCUUGCUAUCUUUGGAGCAUUCUUUAUUAUUCAUAUUGGAGUGGUACCAGAGGUCCCUGCCAGCACUGAGGCCAUGUUUCACUUUGGUACCAUUCAAAAUAGCUUCUGCCUCAAAGAGUUCAGUCUGACAUUGGGCAAAAACAUACAUGACUAGGUAUAAUGGAAUGAGAGAGGGAGAAAAAGUGCAACAAGGAUAGAAGCAGGUGCAAUUAUGUGCAUAGCUAGGUAGUUUUUAAAUACAUUAAUUAUUUCUUGCUAUAAAUUAUGAAUUAGAGAUAUAAUCAUUCCUAUUGGCCACAUCUAUGAAUCUAUGAAUCAGCCUAACCAUUGCUACUAGGCACUAGUAAGGUAAUCAUGACAGAAAAUCAUGAAACAUUUAAGAGAGGACAAAAUAAUAGUUUCCCAGAUGAACUCAGGGAGGGCAUUUUGUAGAAAAUGGCUAGUAAGGGAGAAGGCACCAAAGCAUUCAUGGAAGAACUAGACAAGCAGUUUUAUAAAAGCUUUAAAGGAAUGAAAAGGAUUGCCUAAUGUGAUGCAUUUUCAUGACAUUGCUCUGCAUAGUUAACAUUUUGUUUGUAUAUUUGUUUCUCAUGAAGGAUUGUUAAAAAUCUUUUGGAUAAAGCUAGUCAAAGUAGCAUGCAAAAUUUUGAUAGUUUUCCUUUAGGAUGAUAAGUCUGCUCUCAGCUCAUGGAGUGGUUGAAAUGAUCCAAACCAAAGGAAUGGCUUUUAUCUGGUUUAAAAAUCCAUUUAAAGUGAUGCAACUUUCUGACUGUGCUAGUCCUUUACAAAUAAUGCACUCACUUGGCUUGCAUUUAUCUUCAGGAAGGGUACUGGAAUUCUAUUUGGUGAAGAAACAUAAUUUGUGAAGCCAUUAAUGUGUUCACAUUUAAACAGCGUGUCAUAUUUGUGCUGCAGAACCCAUUUCUUAACCCUGCUAGGACUAUUCCACAAUAAAAAUGGCUUUUCCUAUGAUUUAUUGCUGCUGUGUUGUACUGAAAUAUAAAACCUUUGAAAAAGCUUGGUGCAAAGGAAGUUGCUCGUAAUAUGCACGUGCAUAAUAGAUGCCGAGAACACCAAUGGAUCGGAGAAAGCAAACUCCUCUACAUUUAGCUACUGUGAAGGGAAAGCUUUCCAUUGCAGUUAUUUUGGUACCACUUGAAGGCUUGACUGUCAAAUAAUCCUACUUUGAGCAAGAAUUUCAGGGCCAGAGGCUCAGUAGGCUUAAAUCUGUGUAGUUCCAUUAAAGUCAAUGGAGCUAUGGCAGCAUGCAAUAGCUGAGGAUUUGGCUCCUAGUCUUUCCAAUAAGGUCAGUGAUAAUACUGAGAUUGGCUUUCUCUAUGUACAUAACAGUAUUGCAAGAAAAUGGUCUGUGCAGAAGAGCUCUAGAACUGAAUACUUUAAUGAAUGUUAAUAUUUAAGCUGAAUUGCACAAGCGUGUCUAAAGUUUUAUAUGAUAUGUUUCAAAUGGAAACACUGUUUUUACUGUAGACUGCUGAGUGAAAUGUCAGCUCUUAAAGCAUAAGAUUCAACAAUAAUAUUGGCCAAGCAAAUGUCAACCGAAAAGCACUUUUCUCCUAAUGAGUUUUCUUUCCUGAUCUUGGAACAGAAACUGAAUUUGCCUUAGUUUAUGAAGCUUCUUACCCAAGUAAGACUUUUGUAGAAAGUUAGAUCUCACAUUUUACGUUUAAGAGCAACUAUUGAAUUAAGUCCCUGCAGCAAAACUUCCCAGCCUGGAAUCAAUAUGUCAAGGAGAGGUGUUUUGAAACGGAAAACCAAAAUAUAAUUUAACUUUAGACUUAAAUUUUAGCCUUAUUACUCUCGAUUGUCUGGGAUGAUCUUAGAUUUUAACUAAGACACUUUUCUUUUUUCUAUCUGCCACUAUAGAAUAGACACUCUUAAAAGUUUGCCAGUUGCCUUCAGUAACAAAGUAGCUUUUCUUCAGUAAUACUGCAGAGAGACAGUUACCUCAUCUGAGGCAGAGUUGGCAAGGUUUUAAGGGCAAUCAUGAAACCUGAUCAGAUGCAUCUCAGGCUUAUUAUAAUCUACCUUAGUAUUUUUUCUGAUUUAACCAUUGUCAUUGCAAAAAUACUAACAAAGAGAAAAAGCUAAAUGGCCUUCUGCAUACAUUUUUUUCUGUUUUUAGGACUGCCAGUAAUUACAAUGCAGAAAUGAAUAGUGUUUGUUUAAUACUUGUAAUAAAAAAGAACCUGGUUGGUGUUGUCUGCCUUUCUUAUUACUAUUAUUUAGUAUAUCACAGCUCUGUUUACAGAGACCAAGCCAUCUCAAUAGGCUGCUUUGGUUAAUAAUUUCUGACAAACGUUAUUUUUGUCCCCAGAAAGAUGUAGGAGCAUAUAGUCAGCUGGUGUAAAUCACUUGUGUAGCAUUGACUUCCUUGGAGUCAGGAUGAUUUACACAUGCUGAGAGUCUGACCACAGCAUACUUUCCUGGAUGUUUUCCUUUUGUUCUUUUCUAUUUUUAGGUGAAUUGGUCAGUUCCCAUCAUGUUACACAACUGGAGACAACACUUGUCCUUUUAUUUAUAUCCUACUGUCUUUUGAGUUCUUGCCUCUAUGUAUUUAUUUAAACACUCACCUUUCACUUUGCUUUCUGUUUAAUGCUAUUAACUAUGGGACUGCUUCUCAUCGCAACAUUCCCCAAUUUAAUCUUGAUUAUACAAUACCUGUUUGUGAACUUUCAUCCCUAUAAAAUGGCUGCAUUAAGCAGAAAUCACUAGCAGAGACAUGCCAUAAGAUGAGUCAAUCAGCAGCCAAAGCAGAAUGUCCCCAAACUCAAACAACCAUAUUGCCAUUAAUAAUCUGGUUCAAAAUAGAAAGUAUCUUCCCAGUUUAAAUACCAAGCUGAUGAGUUAUUUCCAACUCAACUACCAAAAAACCCCAACCCUCACUCACAGUUGGCUAAAUUCUGACUGGCCUCAUCUGGAUGCACAGCAACAUGGAAGGAAGACAAAAGCUUUCUUUUCUCUUCCUGUAGUCCCCUUCUGCUGUGUUUCAUGUGCGGACAGACAGGACUCAUUCCACUCAAGAGCUACCUGUCCCAGGUCAGAAGAAGGAAUCAGGUAUGACUCCUCUUUGUCCCCAGCUGCUGCCUGAGAACUGGCCACCAAAGUAAGGUACACACUGAGGAUCAAAGCCUGGUUUUGAGAACCCAGUCCCUGAGCAUCUAAAGCUAAACAUCCUCCUAUAUGACAUAUUUGAUUAAUACCUAAGAAGGACCUUUUGGGUCUUCUCUUUGUGUCUUUAUUAUCUGACCUUUUUCUAAAGCUUACCAUUUGUCUUGCAUAUUGUAGGAUGUGACUCUACCUGUGUGUUGUAAUUUUCCCUUAGAGAGAUCUGUUUGUAUUUUUAUCCUUUGAAAAUAAACAUCUACUGAAGCACCUCU